UACGUAGGGUGCGAGCGUUAAUCGGAAUUACUGGGCGUAAAGCGUGCGCAGGCGGUUAUGUAAGACAGAGGUGAAAUCCCCGGGCUCAACCUGGGAACUGCCUUUGUGACUGCAUGACUAGAGUACGGCAGAGGGGGAUGGAAUUCCGCGUGUAGCAGUGAAAUGCGUAGAUAUGCGGAGGAACACCGAUGGCGAAGGCAAUCCCCUGGGCCCUGACUGACGCUGAGGUACGAAAGCUAGGGGAGCGAAUGGG
rnacentral:rRNA from 1 species